rnacentral:rRNA from 1 species
CCCUUAGACGUUCUGGGCCGCACGCGCGCUACACUGACACAGGCAACGAGCUUUCCUUUACCGAAAGGUAUGGGUAAUCUUUUGAAACUGUGUCGUGCUGGGGAUAGAUCCUUGCAAUUUUUGAUCUUAAACGAGGAUUUCCUAGUAAGCGCGAGUCAUCAACUCGCGUUGAUUACGUCCCUGCCCUUUGUACACACCGCCCGUCGCUACUACCGAUUGAAUGGCUUAGUGAGGCCUCAGGAUCCGCGCUUAAUGUGUGGAGAAUUUGGACAAACUACGUCAUUUAGAGGAAGUAAAAGUCGUAACA